AAUUAGAGUUUGAUCCUGGCUCAUGAAGAACGCUGGCGGUCUGCUUAACACAUGCAAGUCGAACGGAGUGUUUCGGCACUUAGUGGCGGACGGGUGAGUAACGCGUGAGAAUCUGGCUUCAGGAGAGGGAUAACAGUUGGAAACGACUGCUAAUACCGCAUAUGCCUAAAGGUGAAAGGAUUAAUUGCCUGAAGAUGAGCUCGCGUCAGAUUAGGUACUUGGAGUGGUAAGGGCACCCCAAGCCGACGAUCUGUAUCUGGUCUGAGAGGAUGAGCAGCCACACUGGGACUGAGACACGGCCCAGACUCCUACGGGAGGCAGCAGUGGGGAAUUUUCCGCAAUGGGGGCAACCCUGACGGAGCAAAACCGCGUGCGGGAGGACGGCCUGUGGGUUGUAAACCGUUUUAGUCUGGGAAGAAAAAUGACGGUACCUGACGAAUCAGCCUCGGAUAACUCCGUGCCAGCAGCCGCGGUAAUACGGAGGAGGCUAGCGUUAUCCGGAAUGAUUGGGCGUAAAGCGUCCGUAGGUGGUUGACCAAGUCAGCUGUCAAAGCGUGGGGCUUAACCUCAUAAGGGCGGUUGAAACUGGUGAGCUAGAGUGCGGUAGGGGUCAGAGGAAUUCCCAGUGUAGCGGUGAAAUGCGUAGAGAUUGUGAAGAACAUCGGCGGCGAAAGCGUCUGACUGGGCCUGCACUGACACUGAUGGACUAAAGCUAGGGGAGCGAAGGGGAUUAGAUACCCCUGUAGUCCUAGCUGUAAACGAUAAU
rnacentral:rRNA from 1 species